UACGUAGGGCGCAAGCGUUGUCCGGAAUUAUUGGGCGUAAAGAGCUCGUAGGUGGCUUGUCACGUCGGGUGUGAAAGCUUGGGGCUUAACUCCAGGUCUGCAUUCGAUACGGGCUGGCUAGAGGUAGGUAGGGGGACGCGGAAUUCCCGGUGUAGUGGUGGAAUGCGUAGAUAUCGGGAGGAACACCAGUGGCGCAGGCGGCGUCCUGGACCGGCACUGACGCUGAGGAGCGAAAGCGUGGGGAGCGAUCCGG
rnacentral:rRNA from 1 species